AAAAGGGGCUCCGUGCUGAGUACCAAAGAUGGAAUGGGAAUGUUCCUUCACUGCCAGUAAACUUGUUCAGGAGCUGCACACAACUGAGACCUUCCCUUCAUCUCCCUGGGAGGCUGCAGCCAGUUCAUCAAAGGGUAGUGAUCCAAGUCUCUGUCAUCUUCAGGAAUCAUUGCAGUGUGUUCACCCUUGGCUAAGCUUGAAGGAGCCCUGAAAGUUGCAGCUCAGGCAAGAGAUGAUUGUGCGCUUCUCUGUGCGGCUUCCACUGAACCUGUGAUGCAUUCAGGAGCACCAACCUCCUUCAGGAGCCUCAAUGCAGCUCAAGAUGGUAUUCUCAAAUGGGAACUGCCUUUCUGGGUUGCCUCGUGUGACACGGAGAGCUUCCCUCUGCUUGGAGUCCUCCGUGGCACUUCAGAUCAGUGACAGUGUCAGAUCACUGGCUGCAGUCUUUGCAUAGCUUCCCUCUUGACCCAG
ensembl:lncRNA